CACGCCGAGCAAGGGAUGGUCGCUGUCGUCUCGUCCAAGUGGCACGUCGCUGAUGCGACACGCGGUGCUCGAUGGUGGUCGUCCACCGCCGUGGCUGGCUGCCAAAUCUAAAUCAUUGGCGGCCGCCUGGAAUCGAACCCAGGGACGCCAGCUCAGCGCUCUGACCUCUGGAGAAAACAAGAGCCCGAGUUUGCCCCACGAGGCCACAGCUUCCAAGAGACUGGUUCACGCGCGGAUUGUGCGUUUGACGAGCCCAGCCAGUGGCAUUCCAAAGCAAGGUAGCAGCCCAUGCAACGUCAACACGGCAAGGCGG